GUUCAUGCGCAAACCACACACUGCAGCAGAUCGUGCAGGGACGAAUUGGACUUUGAAAAACAGGGUGUUUUUGUAGAAAUUCAUAAAAAAAAACUAUGUUUGGUUAGUUUUAUUUUUUUUUUUGGGGGGGGGGGUAUACUAUAACUUACCUACUGUGCUGGAUGUUAUAGGACCGGCGUCUGCAAUACGAUGUUGGCUAUAUGCAUUCUGUAUGAACGACACGCGUGUUCAAUAUGCACGCGAAGUAAGGCAGCACAACGUGUAUCUGUGCUAGAUAACGGUACCUGGAGUCUCGAUUAGCUGAAAUUGAAAAAAAUAUCAACAUAUUCGAUGAAAUCAAUAAUGUGGUCAGUUCUUUGAAAUCCCAAGUGGAAGUGCUCACUGAAGAUGUCCAAUCUGUAAAAACCAAUUCUAACGACCUAGAAUCCAAUAUGAGAUCGUAGGAAAUAUUUUUGAUUCGGUUAAAGUCAUAGCGGAUUCGAACACAGUUGCAAUCGCAGAGAACCGAAAAAAACAUUGACAAGUGCUCUCAGCUUCAGAAAACAACAGACCCUAACGUAAGGAAAGAGCUAUUCGAAAUGCGUGAAGUAAAUUCAAACUUACAAGAAAGCAUUAUUGACCUGAAAUCCCGAUCCAUGCGGGACAAUCUUGUGUUUUCUGGAAUUCAUGAAGAACGGGGAGAGAACACAAAAGAGAUUUUACAAGAAUUCAUCAAAAGGAAAUUCCGCAUUGACUACGACGUUAGCUUUGAACGGGUGCAUCGCAUGGGAAAGUGGUCUGAGCAUAACCUAUACCCCAGGAACAUUGUGGCUAAGUUCACCUACUUCAAAGAGAGAGAGAGCUGAUCCGGACGCGUGCCCCUCAGAAAUUAAAGGGGUAUAAUGUGUAAGUCAACGAGCAAUUCCCACCAGAAAUGAGGAAAGGAGGAAGAAACUGUACCCGAUCAUGAGAUUAGCGAAGAGGGAUGGAAAGCGUGUGCGACUGGUCAAAGACUUGUUAUACGUCAACAGAGAGUUAUAUGACCCAGAAAAGGACGUAUCCACCCAACCGGAACGCCUGCCUUACUCCCGAGUAGUAAACACUGGUAGCCGCCAACCGCAGAAAAGACCGCGCAACGGAUCAACGCCUGACCGGGACAGAUAGGGACGCGUGGAAGAUCAGACAACAAAGACUUUAAGUUUCCUUCCCUUAACGUCUGCGGACUGAGGAAAAAAUUACAAUAUCCUGAUUUUGUUACUUUUGUUUGUAAAUACGAUAUUUUAUGCUUAACUGAAACGAAAACCCACAAUACUGAUGUUAUUAAUAUUCCAGGUUUUGUUGUAUAUUUGAAAAAUAGAUUUGACAUUGCAAAGGU
rnacentral:sRNA from 1 species